rnacentral:rRNA from 1 species
UACGUAGGGGGCAAGCGUUGUCCGGAUUUAUUGGGCGUAAAGAGCGUGUAGGCGGCUUGGUAGGUCCGCUGUGAAAACUCGAGGCUCAACUUCGAGAUGUCGGCGGAAACCACUUGGCUAGAGUCCGGAAGAGGAGAGUGGAAUUCCCGGUGUAGCGGUGAAAUGCGCAGAUAUCGGGAAGAACACCUAUGGCGAAGGCAGCUCUCUGGGACGGUACUGACGCUGAGACGCGAAAGCGUGGGGAGCGAACAGG